rnacentral:rRNA from 1 species
GACGAACGCUGGCGGCGUGCCUAAUACAUGCAAGUAGAACGCACAGUUUAUACCGUAGCUUGCUACACCAUAGACUGUGAGUUGCGAACGGGUGAGUAACGCGUAGGUAACCUGCCUGGUAGCGGGGGAUAACUAUUGGAAACGCUAGCUAAUACCGCAUAAUAUUAAUUAUUGCAUGAUAAUUAAUUGAAAGGUGCAAUUGCACCACUACCAGAUGGACCUGCGUUGUAUUAGCUAGUAGGUGAGGUAACGGCUCACCUAGGCGACGAUACAUAGCCGACCUGAGAGGGUGAUCGGCCACACUGGGACGGAGACACGGCACAGACUCCUACGGGAGGCAGCAGGAGGGAAUCGUCGGCAAGGGACGAAAGUCUGACCGAGCAACGCCGAGUGAGUGAAGAAGGUUUUCGGAUCGUAAAGCUCGGUUGUAAGAGAAGAAAGGGUGUGAGAGUGGAAAGUUCACACUGUGACGGUAUCUGACCAGAAAGAGACGGCUAACUACGUG